rnacentral:tRNA from 1 species
GGCUCCGAAGUGCAUUGGCACACAUGGCAAGAACAGCGGGUUUGAAAGCCGCCAGCGUCGGGUUGACUGUUCGCCUGAGCGACGCUGCUGGUUAGAUUCCAGCCGGAGCCU